UACGUAGGUCCCGAGCGUUGUCCGGAUUUAUUGGGCGUAAAGCGAGCGCAGGUGGUUCAUUAAGUCUGGUGUAAAAGGCAGUGGCUCAACCAUUGUAUGCACUGGAAACUGGUAGACUUGAGUGCAGGAGAGGAGAGUGGAAUUCCAUGUGUAGCGGUGAAAUGCGUAGAUAUAUGGAGGAACACCGGUGGCGAAAGCGGCUCUCUGGCCUGUAACUGACACUGAGGCUCGAAAGCGUGGGGAGCAAACAGG
rnacentral:rRNA from 1 species